UACGUAGGGGGCAAGCGUUGUCCGGAAUCAUUGGGCGUAAAGCGCGUGUAGGCGGCCCGGUAAGUCCGCUGUGAAAGUCCAGGGCUCAACCCUGGGAUGCCGGUGGAUACUGUCGGGCUCGAGUCCGGAAGAGGCGAGUGGAAUUCCCGGUGUAGCGGUGAAAUGCGCAGAUAUCGGGAGGAACACCUAUGGCGAAGGCAGCUCGCUGGGACGUUACUGACGCUGAGGCGCGAAAGCGUGGGGAGCGAACAGG
rnacentral:rRNA from 1 species